rfam:Sorghum bicolor cultivar BTx623 chromosome 8, whole genome shotgun sequence.
UUAGUUGGAUUCACCUCAAUCCAUAUGUGUUGAGGUGGAUCGGAGUGGAAUUUGAACUAAAUUCUAUCCUAAUCCACACCAAUACACAUGGAUUGAAGUAAAUCCGAUG